AGAGUUUGAUCAUGGCUCAGGAUAAACGCUGGCGGCGUGCCUAACACAUGCAAGUCGAACGCCCUUUUCUUUCGGGAAGAGGGAGUGGCGGACGGGUGAGUAACACGUAGGUGACCUACCUUGAGGUGGGGAAUACCAACGAGAAAUCGUUGACAAUUCCGCAUAAGUUCUCUUCGGAGAGCAAAGCUUCGGUUCGUCCGAGGCGCCACAAGAUGGGCCUGCGUCUGAUUAGCUAGUUGGUGGGGUAAUGGCCUACCAAGGCGAUGAUCAGUAGCUGAUCUGAGAGGAUGAUCAGCCACACUGGGAUUGAGAACGGCCCAGACUCCUACGGGAGGCAGCAGUGAGGAAUUUUCCGCAAUGGGGGAAACCCUGACGGAGCAACGCCGCGUGCAGGAGGAAGGUCUACGGAUCGUAAACUGCUUUUACCGGGGAAGAGAACGGACGGUACCCGGUGAAUAAGCCCCGGCUAACUACGUGCCAGCAGCCGCGGUAAUACGUAGGGGGCGAGCGUUAUCCGGAAUUAUUGGGCGUAAAGGGCACGCAGGCGGUCCUGCACGUGGUGGGUGACAGCUUCUAGCUUAACUAGGAGAGUGCCUUCCAAACGACAGGACUUGAGAGCGAGAGAGGGAUACGGAACUCCAGGUGAAGCAGUGAAAUGCGUAGAUAUCUGGAAGAACACCAAAGGCGAAGGCAGUAUCCUGGCUCGUCUCUGACGCUCAGGUGCGAAAGCUAGGGGAGCAAACAGGAUUAGAUACCCUAGUAGUCC
rnacentral:rRNA from 1 species